AUUGAACGCUGGCGGCAUGCCUUACACAUGCAAGUCGAACGGUAACAGGUCUUCGGAUGCUGACGAGUGGCGAACGGGUGAGUAAUACAUCGGAACGUGCCUAGUAGUGGGGGAUAACUACUCGAAAGAGUGGCUAAUACCGCAUGAGAUCUACGGAUGAAAGCAGGGGAUCGCAAGACCUUGUGCUACUAGAGCGGCCGAUGGCAGAUUAGGUAGUUGGUGGGAUAAAAGCUUACCAAGCCGACGAUCUGUAGCUGGUCUGAGAGGACGAUCAGCCACACUUGGACUGAGACGCGGCCCAGACUCCUACGGGAGGCAGCAGUGGGGAAUUUUGGACAAUGGGCGCAAGCCUGAUCCAGCAAUGCCGCGUGCAGGAUGAAGGCCUUCGGGUUGUAAACUGCUUUUGUACGGAACGAAAAGCCCUGGGUUAAUACCUCGGGGUAAUGACGGUACCUGAAGAAUAAGCACCGGCUAACUACGUGCCAGCAGCCGCAGUAA
rnacentral:rRNA from 1 species